rnacentral:rRNA from 1 species
AACGAGCGCUGGCGGCAGGCCUAACACAUGCAAGUCGAACGCUGCAGCAAUGCAGAGUGGCAGACGGGUGAGUAACGCGUGGGAAUCUUCCUAUCGGUACGGAAUAGCUCAGGGAAACUUGGGGUAAUACCGCAUACGCCCUUCGGGGGAAAGAUUUAUCGCCGAUAGAUGAGCCCGCGUCUGAUUAGCUAGUUGGUGAGGUAAUGGCUCACCAAGGCGACGAUCAGCAGCUGGUCUGAGAGGAUGACCAGCCACACUGGGACUGCGACACGGCCCAGACUCCUACGGGAGGCAGCAGUGGGGAAUAUUGAACAAUGGGCGCAAGCCUGAUCCAGCCAUGCCGCGUGAGUGACGAAGGUCUUCGGAUUGUAAAGCUCUUUUGGCGGGGACGAUAAUGACGGUACCCGCAGAAUAAGCCCCGGCUAACUUCGUGCCAGCAGCCGCAGUAACAC